UACAGAGGUCUCAAGCGUUGUUCGGAUUCAUUGGGCGUAAAGGGUGCGUAGGUGGCGCCGUAAGUCGGGUGUGAAAUUUCGGAGCUUAACUCCGAAACUGCAUUCGAUACUGCGGUGCUUGAGGACUGGAGAGGAGACUGGAAUUCCAGGUGUAGCGGUGAAAUGCGUAGAUAUCUGGAGGAAUACCGGUGGCGAAGGCGGCAUCCUGGACCAACACUGACGCUGAGUGAGCGAAAGCCAGGGGAGCAAACGGG
rnacentral:rRNA from 1 species